GCCCAGAUAGCUCAGUUGGUAGAGCACUUGACUGAAAAUCAAGGUGUCCGUGGUUCAAUUCCGCGUCUGGGCACCA
rnacentral:tRNA from 1 species